AUUGAACGCUAGCGGGAUGCUUUACACAUGCAAGUCGAACGAGUGGCGGACGGGUGAGUACUAUAUCGGAACGUGCCUAGUAGAGGGGGCUAACUACUCGAAAGCGUGGCUAAUACUGCAUACUGUUGGAGCGGCCGUUAUCGGAUUAGCUAGUGGGUGGGGUAUAGCCUCACCAAGGCAACGAUGCGUAGCUGGUUUGAGAGGUCGACCGGCCACACUGGGACUGAGACACGGCCCAGACUCCUACGGGAGGCAGCAGUGGGGAAUUGUGGGCAAUGGGGGAAAUCCUGAUCGAGCCAUCCCGCGUGUAUGAGAAGGCCUUCGGGUUGUAAAGUACUUUUGUCAGAGAAGCGGUAUCUACAGAAUAAGCAACGGCUAACUACGUGCCAGCAGCCGCGGUAAUAC
rnacentral:rRNA from 1 species